rnacentral:rRNA from 1 species
AAUAGAUACCCAGGUAGUCCACGCCGUAAACGAUGAGUGCUAAGUGUUAGAGGGUUUCCGCCCUUUAGUGCUGCAGCUAACGCAUUAAGCACCCCGCCUGGGGAGUACGGCCGCAAGGCUGAAACUCAAAGGAAUUGACGGGGGCCCGCACAAGCGGUGGAGCAUGUGGUUUAAUUCGAAGCAACGCGAAGAACCUUACCAGGUCUUGACAUCCUCUGCCAACCCUAGAGAUAGGGCGUUCCCCUUCGGGGGACAGAGUGACAGGUGGUGCAUGGUUGUCGUCAGCUCGUGUCGUGAGAUGUUGGGUUAAGUCCCGCAACGAGCGCAACCCUUGAUCUUAGUUGCCAGCAUUCAGUUGGGCACUCUAAGGUGACUGCCGGUGACAAACCGGAGGAAGGUGGGGAUGACGUCAAAUCAUCAUGCCCCUUAUGACCUGGGCUACACACGUGCUACAAUGGAUGGUACAAAGAGCUGCGAACCCGCGAGGGUAAGCGAAUCUCAUAAAGCCAUUCUCAGUUCGGAUUGUAGG